AACGGCCAUACCAUGCUGAAUAUACCGGUUCUCGUUAGAUCACCGAAGUCAAGCAUCAUUGGGCGCGGUCAGUACUUGGGUGGGUGACCACCUGGGUGC
rnacentral:rRNA from 1 species